rnacentral:rRNA from 1 species
UACAGAGGUCUCAAGCGUUGUUCGGAUUCAUUGGGCGUAAAGGGUGUGUAGGUGGCGCGCUAAGUCGGGUGUGAAAUUUCGGAGCUUAACUCCGAAACUGCAUUCGAUACUGCCGUGCUUGAGGACUGGAGAGGAGACUGGAAUUCACGGUGUAGCAGUGAAAUGCGUAGAGAUCGUGAGGAAGACCAGUGGCGAAGGCGGAUCUCUGGACAGUUCCUGACGCUGAGGCGCGAAGGCCAGGGGAGCAAACGGG